UUUCCGUAGGUGAACCUGCGGAAGGAUCAUUAGAAAAUCCGGGGCCGCUUCGGCGUGCACCGCGCUACGUCGUCCGCUCCGGCGGACUUCGUCACACUUUGUGAACCUCCUCUUUGCUUCGGCGGCGUCUUGCUUCACUGCGAGCGUAAGUCCGCCGGCUAAACUCUUCGGAAACUUUCAGUCUGAACAUUUAAUAAUGAAAUAUUAAAACUUUCAACAACGGAUCUCUUGGUUCUCGCAUCGAUGAAGAACGCAGC
rnacentral:misc_RNA from 1 species